CCUACGGGAGGCAGCAGUGGGGAAUAUUGCACAAUGGGGGAAACCCUGAUGCAGCGACGCCGCGUGAGUGAAGAAGUAUUUCGGUAUGUAAAGCUCUAUCAGCAGGGACGAAAAUGACGGUACCUGAUUAAGAAGCCCCUGCUAACUACGUGCCAGCAGCCACGGUCAUACGUAGGGGGCAAGCGUUAUCCGGAUUUACUGGGUGUAAAGGGAGCGUAGACGGCAGCACAAGUCUGGAGUGAAAUGCCGGGGCUUAACCCCGGAACUGCUUUGGAAACUGUGCAGCUAGAGUGCAGGAGAGGUAAGUGUAAUUCCUAGUGUAGCGGUGAAAUGCGUAGAUAUUAGGAGGAACACCAGUGGCGAAGGCGGCUUACUGGACUGUAACUGACGUUGAGGCUCGAAAGCGUGGGGAGCAAACAGGAUUAGAUACCCCGGUAGUC
rnacentral:rRNA from 1 species